UUGUCAGACCGCGGAGCGAGCGCAGAGUGUCGACUUGGUACUUUGGUAGCUCCCGGCAGGUGCAGUUCAGUGUGUGCGUCUGUCAGUCGUGCGGCUCGUGGUGAUAAAACAGUUAGUGCCUCUCGCCGCUAGCUGCUCCUUGACAACGCAGGAGGAGGAUCUCUUCCCCAAAAAUAUUCUGGACACCACCGCCUUAGGAUCGGCGAUUCCGCUCAUUAUUGUCUUGAACGCUUUGACCGAGGGUCGUUUAUUCUGUGAUAUCAAUCGCGGAUCGUCUGAUUAUCCAAACGCUGAAAUAGAAGAAGCGUAGGAGAGGAAACUGAUUCUGCAAGUAUACCAAAAGGUGGGAAAAACUUGGGGAAUAAUUCACGUCCCCCCCAAGAAUUGUCUAGCGAAGAAAUCAAAAGAAACCGAAGAUGCCUGCAUCAACGACAGCAGCCGCGCCUGCAGGAGCUGAGGCUGGCGGUCCUCCGCGUACCGAACUUCAGGAGCUCCAGCUGAAGGCGGGUCAAACGACUGAUGAGUCACUGGAGAGUACGCGACGUAUGCUGGCGCUAUGCGAAGAGAGCGAAGAGGUUGGCGCAAACACUCUGAUGAUGUUGGACCACCAAGGCGAGCAACUGGACAGAAUCGAGGAAGGGAUGGAUCAGAUCAACGCCGAUAUGAGGGAAGCUGAAAAGAAUCUUACCGGUAUGGAAAAAUGUUGCGGCCUCUGCGUUCUUCCCUGUAACAAAGGAGCGAGUUUCAAGGAGGACGAGGGAACGUGGAAGGGAAACGACGACGGCAAGGUUGUGAAUAACCAGCCGCAACGCGUGAUGGACGAUCGAAACGGUUUGGGACCCCAGGGUGGCUACAUCGCGAAGAUAACGAACGACGCGAGGGAGGACGAGAUGGAGGAUAACAUGGGACAGGUGAACACGAUGAUCGGAAAUCUGCGCAACAUGGCGAUCGACAUGGGCAGUGAGCUAGAAAAUCAAAAUCGGCAAAUCGACAGGAUCAAUCGCAAGGGAGAGUCGAACGAGACGAGGAUACAGGUGGCCAACGAACGCGCUCAUCAGCUUCUUAAAUAAGUUUCCCCGCGAAUACAUUCUAAUGAAAUCGAAAUUCUUACAUGGUGUUGUUAUUAUUAUUAUUAUUAUUAUUAUUAUUAUUAUACAUAUAUCUAUUACUAUACUUAUAUAUUAUCCCAACAC